AGGGUGACAGGUGGUGCAUGGUUGUCGUCAGCUCGUGUCGUGAGAUGUUGGUUAAGUCCCGCAACGAGCGCAACCCUCGACCUUAGUUGCCAGCAUUCAGUUGGGCACUCUAAGGUGACUGCCGGCUAAAAGUCGGAGGAAGUGGGGAUGACGUCAAAUCAUCAUGCCCCUUAUGACCUGGGCUACACACGUGCUACAAUGGGCGGUACAAAGGGUCGCGAACCCGCGAGGGGGAGGCCAAUCCCAAAAAGACCGCUCUCAGUUCGGAUUGCAGGCUGCAACUCGCCUGCAUGAAGCCGGAAUCGCUAGUAAUCGCGGAUCAGCAUGCCGCGGUGAAUACGUUCCCGGGCCUU
rnacentral:rRNA from 1 species